AUAUCUGAACUGUCCGCCGGUUUUAUUAUUUAACCGCAACAGCAACGCAAACACUUGAGGGAAUGCCAGGGUCUGGUGGAAUGAAUUCCAAUAUGCCAGAUACACUGGAGCUGUCCCCGCAACUGUAUGCAGUGAGCGUGUCUCAUAGCCACUGGCCUUCGGCCGGGAAGGCGAGACCUGCGUUGAACGCGAUUGCUCAAAUCCGUUCAAAAACUGAGAGCCAGUAGACCUGCCAUAGCAGAGAUCACUUA
rfam:Teredinibacter turnerae T7901, complete genome.